UAAUGCCGGAUGCUCCGACUCCUCGCAUGGGGUGUCGGGAAAGAUUUCAUCGGUAUGGGAUGGGGUCGCGUCCUAUCAGGUAGUCGGCGGGGUAACGGCCCACCGAGCCUACGACGGGUAGCCGGCCUGAGAGGGCGACCGGCCACAUUGGGACUGAGAUACGGCCCAGACUCCUACGGGAGGCAGCAGUGGGGAAUAUUGCACAAUGGGCGCAAGCCUGAUGCAGCGACGCCGCGUGCGGGAUGACGGCCUUCGGGUUGUAAACCGCUUUUGAUCGGGAGCAAGCCUUCGGGUGAGUGUACCUUUCGAAUAAGCACCGGCUAACUACGUGCCAGCAGCCGCGGUAAUACGUAGGGUGCAAGCGUUAUCCGGAAUUAUUGGGCGUAAAGGGCUCGUAGGCGGUUCGUCGCGUCCGGUGUGAAAGUCCAUCGCUUAACGGUGGAUCUGCGCCGGGUACGGGCGGGCUGGAGUGCGGUAGGGGAGACUGGAAUUCCCGGUGUAACGGUGGAAUGUGUAGAUAUCGGAAAAGAAC
rnacentral:rRNA from 1 species